AAACAUCCCUAUUCUCAUGAAGCUUACACUCUGUGGAAUGCGACAGAAAAUAAGAAAAGUACAAGCUAGUGAUAUGAACCAUGCAAAAAAUUAGCAAAGGUAAGAGAGGACUAUCUGAGAUGAGUAGGUCAUGUGGAAAGGCCGUUCUGGAGAGGUGCCAUUUAAAUUGAGAUUUGAAUGAUGGCCAGGAGCCAGGCAGCAGCAUUCCAGGGCAAGGAGUUAGCUACUGCCAAGGUCCCCAAGGCAGAAAGGAGCCUGGUGUGUCACAGGACCUGAAAGAGGGCCAGCAUGGCUGAUGCUUGGUAAACAACAGGGAGAAAGGACAAGAAACACAUGCUGGCUUUGAACCCAGGAGGCAGCCCCAUGCCACAGCAGCCCCAGAGGAAAAAAAUCCAGACACAAAAAGAAAAAGUAAACUCUGCGUGGGACUGCUCAUUUUAAUUUCCAGAAGAGAAAAGAGCCUUCCUGACUCAGAGACAUGUCACAGUGAAGGCUACCCAGCAACCACAGGCCUGUCUGUAACACGUGCCUAAGCUACCAAGCACAUCAAAUGACAGCAUUUCAUGUCAUUUUUACAGCUUUACGAAGCUGCGAGGAACAGAGAGCUGUUGACUGCCAGCAACGUGAAGUGCACCAGACGCUGUGGACGAGGAGGAGAUUCAAGGACACUAAGUCCGGGCCAGGUCCCAAGAUGCCUUUCUCUAAUCGCUCAAGAGUUAACUGCCACCUUGAAUUACCUUGGAACGUACGGGGAGGAGCUGUUCUCGUCCUUCUCUGCCCUCCAAUGUUCAUCUAUACUCUGAGUGAAACAAAACAGAACAUGUGGCCAAAGGGGAGCCCUUGCGAGAAAAAGGCAGGGAAGGAGCAGACACAAACUCAUGCCGAGCUUGGGAAUUGCAGCCCUAUGGCCUGUAUCCUGGGAAAUACAGCCUGGCUCCCUGUCGGACCCACAUGGACUCAAAUUUCCCAGUUACCAUUUAAGAGCUGCCUGAUCUUGGGCUAGUCAUUUGACCCUGCUCAGCCUCAGUGUCCUCAGCAGCAUAUCUACUUCCUUGGGUCGCCAUCAAGAUGGAAUGAGAUAUCGUGUACAAAGGGCCAGCGCGUCACAAGCCCCCCACGUGGAAGUAGAUGAUGCUACAGCCCAUGAACCCUUCUGCCCUCACAGAGCUUUCACCUGUUUGCAAGUUGACACUCUCCUCCGAAGCCUGCCUUUUCAAAAUAAGGGAGAUGUCCCACCCCUGGGGUUCUUUGUGAUUCUCAGAGCUUUCUUUUUCACCCAGUUAGGGAAAACUAACUUUUGUACCCAACAUUACAUCAAUGACAUUGCUUUAUCUAUGUAUUUGUUUUAUGGUGCUUUUGGCGUCCUCAUUAAGAAAUCUUUGCCUCUGCCAAGAUCAUGAAGAUAGUCUCCUAUGAUUUCUCCUAGAAGUUGACUUGUUUUACCUUUCACAUUUAAUUCUGCCAUCUACCUGGAACUGAUUUUUAACGACACUAUUUCAAAUACUAAUUUGGUUUUUGAAUAUAAUUUGCAUAUUAAUUUGGUAGUAUUUGUCCUAAAUUUUCUUUUUUGUUUUUAAAUAAAAAACCAGGAAUUUAGACAGUACUAAUUUUCUGGAUGGAAAAAAGAAUUUAUAAACUCUAAAAUUAUACUAUUGCCCGAUUUUAACUUUAGGAUAGUCAAAAUAUCAGAAAACAACUUUUCCAUUUUGUGAGGCCGAAUGAAAGUCAAUUUGCUGUAAGUAUUGAUUACAUACAUAGAGAAUGCUUGUAUGAGGUAAAUGAAUCAUGGUGACUACUUAAGACACUGAGACUGGUUUAAGGAAGGAGUCAUUCAUUCAAGAACAUUUUACUGAUAUUUAUAUUAUAAAUACAAACUUGCAAUAAGUAUAUUUGUAUAAAAUAUUUAUACUUGUCAGCUAUGCUAUAUUCAUUAUAUUUAUUUGCACAUGUUUAUGUAUUUAUCCAUAUGUAUUAUAUUAAAUUCAUUUAUAUUGUUGUGCCU
ensembl:lncRNA